AGGACCUAUAAAGGCACCCGCCCCACCCAAGCCCCAUGGACAGAUGCCCCAGGCUGCACAUUCUGUCAGUGCUGUUCUCCAAGAGGCCCAGACACGUGCUGAAACAUGAAAGGUGGGAACUAUGUUUCAGAUGGUGGAGGUAGCUUGAAGUCCAACAUUACCCUGUCUCAAAACAAAAAAAAAAAAAAAAAAUAAAACAAAAAACAAUUAUAUGAGAAAUCUGAAACCCAAAGGGAAAAAGACAACAUAACUAACCUUGGUCAAGUAUUUCUCCGUGCUAUUAUUUGAAGUCCGUGGAUUUGAGUAGAGACGGGGUUUCACCAUGUUGACCAGGAUGGUCUCGAUCUCUUGACCUCGUGAUCCACCCGCCUCGGCCUCCCAAAGUGCUGGGAUUACAGGCAUGAGCCACCACGCCCGGCCUAUCUUAUAUUUUAAAGAUAACAACUCCUGUUGAAGAACUUGAUUCUUUGUAUCCAGAUGCAGACAUUUUGAACCUGCAGUCUCCAGUUCUGCUGUAAGAUCAUCAAUCUGAAUGAAGACAAGAAUAGUGUGAUAAUGAAGGAAGUAGCCUGAGAACAGCCUAACGUAAAACCAAGAACAAAUUCUGAAAUAAAUUCAGUUGCCACAAAAUGUCAUUUGAACUAUAAAAUAUUCUUCCAAUGUGGAACUCAGAAAAUAAAAAACAAAGUUAAAGCCA